rnacentral:rRNA from 1 species
UUAAGUUAAUAAGGGCGCACGGUGGAUGCCUUGGCACUAGGAGCCGACGAAGGACGUGACAAACGACGAUAUGCCUUGGGUAGCUGUAAGUAAGCGAUGAUCCAGGGAUUUCCGAAUGGGGGAACCCAACAGGUAAUACCUGUUACCUACAUCUGUUAAGGAUGUGAGGAGGAAGACGCAGUGAACUGAAACAUCUAAGUAGCUGCAGGAAGAGAAAGCAAAAGCGAUUGCCUUAGUAGCGGCGAGCGAAACGGCAGAAGGGCAAACCGAAGAGUUUACUCUUCGGGGUUGUAGGACUGCAAUGUGGACUCAAAGAUUAUAGAAGAAUGAUUUGGGAAGAUCAGCCAAAGAGAGUAAUAGCCUCGUAUUUAAAAUAGUCUUUGUACUUAGCAGUAUCCUGAGUACGGCGGGACACGUGAAAUCCCGUCGGAAUCUGGGAGGACCAUCUCCCAACCCUAAAUACUCCCUGGUGACCGAUAGUGAACCAGUACCGUGAGGGAAAGGUGAAAAGCACCCCGGGAGGGGAGUGAAAUAGAACCUGAAACCGUGUGCCUACAACAAGUUCGAGCCCGUUAAUGGGUGAGAGCGUGCCUUUUGUAGAAUGAACCGGCGAGUUACGUUAUGAUGCGAGGUUAAGUUGAAGAGACGGAACCGUAGGGAAACCGAGUCUGAAUAGGGCGCCUUAGUAUCAUGACGUAGACCCGAAACCAUGUGACCUACCCAUGAGCAGGUUGAAGGUGCGGUAAGACGCACUGGAGGACCGAACCAGGGCACGUUGAAAAGUGCUUGGAUGACUUGUGGGUAGCGGAGAAAUUCCAAACGAACUUGGAGAUAGCUGGUUCUCUCCGAAAUAGCUUUAGGGCUAGCGUCGACAUUAGAGAUUCUUGGAGGUAGAGCACUGUUUGGGUGAGGGGUCCAUCCCCGGAUUACCAAUCUCAGAUAAACUCCGAAUGCCAAUGAAUUAUGGUCGGCAGUCAGACUGCGAGUGCUAAGAUCCGUAGUCAAAGGGAAACAGCCCAGACCACCAGCUAAGGUCCCAAAAUAAUUGUUAAGUGGAAAAGGAUGUGGGGUUGCACAGACAACUAGGAUGUUAGCUUAGAAGCAGCUAUUCAUUCAAAGAGUGCGUAAUAGCUCACUAGUCGAGUGACCCUGCGCCGAAAAUGUACCGGGGCUAAAACAAUUUACCGAAGCUGUGGAUACCUUUAUAGGUAUGGUAGGAGAGCGUUCUAUGUGUGAUGAAGGUAUACCGUGAGGAGUGCUGGAACGCAUAGAAGUGAGAAUGCCGGUAUGAGUAGCGAAAGACAGGUGAGAAUCCUGUCCACCGUAAGACUAAGGUUUCCAGGGAAGGCUCGUCCGCCCUGGGUUAGUCGGGACCUAAGGAGAGACCGAAAGGUGUAUCCGAUGGACAACAGGUUGAUAUUCCUGUACUAGAGUAUGUAGUGAUGGAGGGACGCAGUAGGCUAACUAAAGCAGACGAUUGGAAGAGUCUGUCUAAGCAGUGAGGUGUGAAUUGAGUCAAAUGCUUAAUUCUAUAACAUUGAGCUGUGAUGGGGAGCGAAGUUUAGUAGCGAAGUUAGUGACGUCACACUGCCAAGAAAAGCUUCUAGCGUUUAAACAUACUCUACCCGUACCGCAAACCGACACAGGUAGUCGAGGCGAGUAGCCUCAGGUGAGCGAGAGAACUCUCGUUAAGGAACUCGGCAAAAUGACCCCGUAACUUCGGGAGAAGGGGUGCUGACUUAAAGUCAGCCGCAGUGAAUAGGCCCAAGCAACUGUUUAUCAAAAACACAGCUCUCUGCUAAAUCGUAAGAUGAUGUAUAGGGGGUGACGCCUGCCCGGUGCUGGAAGGUUAAGAGGAGUGCUUAGCGUAAGCGAAGGUAUGAAUUGAAGCCCCAGUAAACGGCGGCCGUAACUAUAACGGUCCUAAGGUAGCGAAAUUCCUUGUCGGGUAAGUUCCGACCCGCACGAAAGGCGUAAUGAUUUGGGCACUGUCUCAACGAGAGACUCGGUGAAAUUUUAGUACCUGUGAAGAUGCAGGUUACCCGCGACAGGACGGAAAGACCCCAUGGAGCUUUACUGCAGUUUGAUAUUGAGUGUCUGUACCACAUGUACAGGAUAGGUAGGAGUCUAAGAGAUCGGGACGCCAGUUUCGAAGGAGACGCUGUUGGGAUACUACCCUUGUGUUAUGGCCACUCUAACCCAGAUAGGUGAUCCCUAUCGGAGACAGUGUCUGACGGGCAGUUUGACUGGGGCGGUCGCCUCCUAAAAGGUAACGGAGGCGCCCAAAGGUUCCCUCAGAAUGGUUGGAAAUCAUUCGCAGAGUGUAAAGGUAUAAGGGAGCUUGACUGCGAGAGCUACAACUCGAGCAGGGACGAAAGUCGGGCUUAGUGAUCCGGUGGUUCCGUAUGGAAGGGCCAUCGCUCAACGGAUAAAAGCUACCCUGGGGAUAACAGGCUUAUCUCCCCCAAGAGUUCACAUCGACGGGGAGGUUUGGCACCUCGAUGUCGGCUCGUCGCAUCCUGGGGCUGUAGUCGGUCCCAAGGGUUGGGCUGUUCGCCCAUUAAAGCGGCACGCGAGCUGGGUUCAGAACGUCGUGAGACAGUUCGGUCCCUAUCCGUCGCGGGCGUAGGAAAUUUGAGAGGAUCUGCUCCUAGUACGAGAGGACCAGAGUGGACUUACCGCUGGUGUACCAGUUGUCUUGCCAAAGGCAUCGCUGGGUAGCUAUGUAGGGAAGGGAUAAACGCUGAAAGCAUCUAAGUGUGAAACCCACCUCAAGAUGAGAUUUCCCAUGAUUAUAUAUCAGUAAGAGCCCUGAGAGAUGAUCAGGUAGAUAGGUUAGAAGUGGAAGUGUGGCGACACAUGUAGCGGACUAAUACUAAUAGCUCGAGGACUUAUCCAA